GCCAAGGUCGUCGUAGCCCUUGUGGCCAAAAAGGCCAAUAUUGAUAGCUUAGUGGUGGCCAGGGAGGACCUGCUGGUCCAGGUGGACUAGGUAGCCAAGGUAGUUGUAGCCCUUUUGGCCAAAAAGGCCAAUAUGGAUAUCUUCGUGGUGGCCUGGGAGGACCUGGUGGUCCUGGUGGACUAGGGGGCCAAGGUGCUGGUAGCCCUUGUGGCCAAAAAGGCCAAUAUGGAUAUUGUAGUUGUGGCCCGGGAGGACCUGGUGGACCUGGUGGUCCUGGUGGACUAGGUGGUCCUGGUGGUCCAGGUGGUCCAGAUGGUCCUGCUGGUCCAGGUGGUCCUGCUGGUCCAGGUGGUCCUGUUGAUCCUGGUGGCCCAUCUUUUCCAGGUGGUCCUGGUGGACCAUUAGAUCCUGGCUCACCGUCUGGUCCAGGUGGACCUGGUGGACCUUCUGACCCUGGUGGACCCUGUGGCCCUGGUGGUCCUUGUGGACCCUCUGGCCCUGGUGGCCCUGGUGGCCCAAUAAUUGGUGGAAAAGAUGGUGGUCCUGAAGGUGGUCCUGAAGGUGGACCAGGUGGUCCUGAAGGUGGUCCUGAAGGUGGUCCUGAAGGUGGACCUUGUGGUGACCUAGAUGGGAAUGAUGUUAUUCAGAUUUAACACUGUCGUCUGGAAAAACAUCUGUAUUGGCUGGCAUACCUCUUUAUCUUAGCAGAAAGACA